UUUCAAAUCCACAGUAAUCAUCAACUGGAAAAGAACGAAAUCAUCAACUGGAAGUGAUCUGAGCAAUCUUAAUUCCAUAUCAUUCAUUUCCAGUUAUCCAAUCACAGAACUUCUGUAGCUGAUUCGAAACCCUAUUUUCUCUCACCGAACAGGCAGGCAUGAAUCAGUAUCAUAUAUACCACGCAAUUGGCCGCGGGAAGUAUUCGACUGUUUAUAAGGGGAGAAAGAAGAAGUCACUUGAGUAUUUUGCGAUCAAGAGUGUCGAUAAAUCGCAGAAGACCAAGGUUCUCCAAGAAGUUAGAGUUCUUCACACACUAGACCAUCCAAAUAUAUUGAAAUUCUUUUCUUGGUAUGAAACUUCUGCUCAUUUGUGGUUGGUCUUGGAAUAUUGUGUUGGAGGAGAUCUCAUGUCAUUGUUGAAACAGGACAAGAGGCUUCCAGAAGAUUCAAUACAUCUUCUUGUUUGUGAUCUUGUCAAAGCUUUGAUGUUUUUGCAUUCCAAGGGAAUAAUGUACUGUGACUUGAAGCCGUCAAACAUCCUUUUGGAUGAAAAUGGGCAUACAAAGCUUUGUGAUUUUGGAUUGGUCCGAAAACUGAGUGAUGUAUCAGAUGUUCCAUCUUCUUUGAUGCCACAAGCGAAGCGCGGAACUCCAUUCUACAUGGCUCCUGAACUGUUUCAGGAUGGAGGUGUCCAUUCUUUUGCUUCUGAUUUAUGGGCUCUUGGUUGUGUGAUGUAUGAAUGUUAUACGGGGUCUCCUCCCUUUGUAGGAAGUGAAUUUACUCAAUUAGUUAAAUCAAUCCUAUCUGAUCCAACCCCAUCCCUGCCUGGUAAUCCUAGCCGUCCAUUUGCCAACCUAAUAAACUCUCUUCUAGUGAAAGAUCCAGCUGAAAGAAUACAAUGGACAGAACUCUGUGGACAUGUUUUCUGGAGGACAAGUUUUACUCUAGUUCCCUUACCUCCCCAGCCUGCUUUUACUAAUAUGAUUGAGGUUUUGUCAAGGCCGUGUCUUGCAGAGAAAAACAGCGAUAAGCAUGUACAAAACAAAACUCCACCAAAAUAUCGUGAAAAGGAUUCAAGAGGAGGAGGUCCCAAGAAAGAUGAAAAUAGUAUUUCAGGUUCAAAAAGUUGUGAGACACCAGUUAAGGGUAUCUCGAGUGGCAGGAAGAAUCAAACAAAAGCCCUAGGGAAAGUUACUGAGAGACGGAUAGAUUCUUCAGGCAAUACCAAAGGCGGCGUGAAUCUUCUACGGCUCUCAAGAAUAGCGAAAACUAACUUGCAAAGGGAAAAUGAGAAAGAAAACUACCGUAGACCAAUGACUGACGGCUGUGAAAAUGAUGCUGAAGUUAAGAUCGAAAACACCGAUAUGGAACUAGACUUUAGUGAGAAUGUGGAGGAUGAAACACAAGAUGACCCAGAUAAUUCUACUUGCCUUGAUGAGAAAAGUGGAAAAGACAAUAUGGAUGAGGGGGAGGAUCAAGAUGUGCCUGUAGAAUCAUCUGCAGAAAAUGAUAGUGUGACUGAUAUUCCAUCCACUUUUAGUCCUCAACUAAAAAAUCCAAGGGCAAAAGAAAGUGCAGGCAUCCCUGAUUUUGACUCUUCAAAAUCAUCAGUUGAGCUUUCUCAGGUGCUUUGGCACCCAUCUGACCUCUCUGUCAGACCUGUGAUGCCCAGUAGAAAGGCUGAUAAAGUAUCAAUACCAAUACAAUCUCUCCCCUUCGAAGCUCUGCAAGCUUCUGAUUUUGUCAAGAUGCCCAAGGACCAGCUUGAUGCACUUAACAAUAGAAUACUAACAAAUUUAUGUGGGAAUUCUUCUGUUGGCGAGAAGCAGAAUAUCAUUAGAUAUCUUGAGAUGUUGAGCAGCAAUGCUGAAGCUGCCAAUAUCUUGACUAAUGGGCCAAUCAUGUCGAUGCUUGUCAAAAUGUCGCGACAAUCUAAAGCUUCUGUUUUGCGUGUUCAACUUGUUUCCCUAAUAGGCCUGUUAAUCCGACAUUCUACCUUUAUUGAAGAUGAUUUAGCAAAUUCUGGGAUUUUGAGUUCGUUAACUGAUGGUCUGCGAGAUAAGCAAGAAAAAGUAAGGAGGUCCUCCAUGGCUGCUCUUGGUGAGCUACUGUUUUAUAUCUCCACUCAAAACGAGCAUACAAAGGACGGAAUUCCUACUGAAUUUCUAUCUCCAUCCAAGGAUAGUCGCGGAAUUUCUGGUUGGCAGGUUUCAAAUACACAGAUAUCGUUGGUGACAUCACUAUUGCGGAAAGGAGAGGAUGAUCUUACUCAGCUCUAUGCAUUGAGGACAAUAGAAAACAUAUGUAGUCAAGGGGCACAAUGGGCAACACGUUUCACAAGCCAGGAUGUUAUUAAAAACCUGUGUUAUAUAUUUAGGGCUCCGGGAAAGCAGGAUAGCACAAAACUGACAGCUGGGUCUUGUUUGGUACGCCUAGUUCGUUUUAACCCUCCUAGCAUUCAACCUGUCAUAGAUAAACUUCCUUUGAAGGAUAUUGCUUCAGUACUUAUUAAAGGUAGCCAACGUGAACAACAAAUUUGCUUAAACCUUAUUAAUAUGGUCAUGUUUAGCAGCCACAUUGUUACGAACAUGGGAAAGCAUGUUCUUUCGUUGGUGGAAGAAAAGGGUCUUGUUCCAUUUCUCAUGUCUAUUACUGAACAAGGUAGUGAAGUUCUAAAGGGAAAGGCUCUUGUUUUGGUGGGUCUGCUUUGUAAAAAUGGUAGGAGAUGGUUGGCUCAUUUCUUUUCCAAUGGAAGGUUACUCUCAAUUGUGGACAGAAUGGUGAAAGAAAAGGACAACUUUAUGCAACAGUGCUUAGAAGCUUUCAUCCAUGUGAUAGCAUCCAUUCUACCAAGUCUUCUGGAGGCUAUAACAACUGAUAUUCAACAGAUGAUGGGAGGGAGACGCCACACUCAGAUUGGAGGCCUCACCAGUCGAGCAGCGACCCCAAAAAACAAUGUUAAUUUAUUUCCUGUCCUUUUUCAUCUUCUUAGUAGUUCAUCUUUCAAGCGCAAGAUAGUCAAUCUUCAGGUUCUUCAACAGUUGACAACUCUGAUCAAGCUUGCAGAGACUCCCUUCCAGGGAAGGGAUGAUUUUCAGAUAACCCUUCUACGUGUUCUUGAGUGCAUCACAGGAGAACCAUCUCUUAUUCUUGAUAGUCCUAAAGUUUAUAGUCAUGAGAUUCUUCCUAGUCUGGCUGUUCUAUAUAAAGGAAACAAAGAUGGGAAUGCUCGGUUUUUGUGCCUCAAAAUAAUAUUCGACGUGAUGGAUACCUUUCUGAACGAAACCUCAGAAGACGAUAAACCUCAAGAACAAUUGAAAUCCAUAUCAAAAGAUCACUUCCUUCCUCUAUAUCCCAUGUUCAUCGAGGACGAGGAUCCGAUUCCCAUGUACGCCCAAAAGUUGCUUGUGAUGCUCAUUGAGUUUAAUUACAUCAAGAUCCCAGACAUCCUUAAUCUGAAGAUAAUCUCCAAGUGUUUCGAAUUUCUACUUGGCGAUUUCUCUGCUGCAAAUGUGAACAAUAUAAUGCUCUGUCUUGCCUUAGCAUCAGCUUCAGAACUGGAAAACAAGAUAUUAUCGCAACUUAGAGUUGUUAGGAGGAUCGGUAACCUCUUGGAAUUCGCGUACGUGAAGGAAAUGGAAGAUUUCAUCGAGCCAAUUUUGAAUCUUUGCAAGGCGUUUCUAUUGCGUGCCGUUGGGAAUGUUAAGGGUUUCGUGUAUGAUAAAGAACCGAGGCUGUUAAGCGAUGGGUUUUUUUCGGACUGGGGAAGUGUAGUAGAUCAGCAACAAUGUAUAAAAGAUAUAGUUGAUUUCGGAGGGAAUGUCGGUGUUUUGCUCGAGCUGUGCAAAUCCAAUGAGAAAAAUGUAUCGGAUUUGGCUUCUGAAUGUAUAGUUUUGUUGAUGAAAGUAGCUCCGAGGGAAGCUACAAAUGGUUUUCUAACGAAUCUACCGAAGGUUACAUUGAUUUUGGAGUCAUGGGAAAAGGCGGUUAUUGUUUCCGAGUUGGUUAUAAACAGGAUAUUGCAUUCGCUUGGGUAUUCGUGUAGGCAAUAUUUAUCGUAUGCUAUGAUAUUGUCGAUAUCUGUACCGGAGAUUUUUAAGGUGGAAUCGAUUGUGUUUCAGAUAAAGAAUGCGGGAUUGAAAGGUAUUCAUGAUUCUGCAUAUAAGGCGAGUUUGGAGCUGCAAAGGUUGCCUCGUUGUGUUUGAAAUAUGCAGUUUUUUUUCUUCCACUGGGGCUCCGUUUGGCUCGUGUUCAGCAUUAAUGGCAUGUCCUGCUCGGCUGGGUCAAUCAACUAAAGACCCAUUUUAAUGCAGGAUAAAUGAUUUUGUUACCUCGAGAUCCAGUGCACAAAAUGAAGCCAUUGCUCCUCCCAUUGAAUUCCCAGUGAUGAAAACAUAAUGUUUUCUCCAUACAAUUCAUUCGCUUUCCUGACCGCAUUUACAACAACAAGGUGUAUGGUCGUGUCAUGGUAAGCUGAAUAAAAUCCACGAUGCACCUGAAGUAACAAUAGCAAAGGUGUUUUUAAAGUAGAUAUUUUUUGAAAUUGACAAAUUGGUAAGAACAUACCUUUGUUUCGGGCGUGUUUGGGUAAUCUAUAUCAGACAGACACCAGUCUAGAUCUGUG